GCAAAACAUUUAUUGGAGUGGGUUGUACAAAAAAGUUUCCAGUCAAAAAAAUGUAUAUUACAAAUCAUCGAAAGAGACAAACAUUUGGCAUGCAUAUUCUUAAAACAAAACAGAACCAAAACAAGUGUUUGAAAUGAUAAAGUCUAGAUAAUUUUAUAGUUUUCAUAAGUGUACAUCAAUUUCCAUUGUUUUUAAUAUACUUCAAUUUGCAGAUUUUUUUCAUAAUUGAGAACCUCAGUAAUCCACUUAAAAAAAAAAGCUCCAUUUUACAGAAAUUUUCCCAACUGACAGUCAGGAUGCCGUUAGCCCAGAACUGAAGCUAAAUACAUGUUGUGUUAAGAAGUCGAAGAAGCUGUUGUGUUAAGUCAAAGGAGCCCAAAGAAAAACCAUCAUUGGUUCAAACAUGACAGUAUUACUCUGUCCAAAUGUAAAGCUUCUUAGCUUUGUUCAAAAUAGCUUAUUGCUUGCAAUUUUAGUGUAAUUACAUGGCUACCUAAACCAUUAGAAUGUCAGUCCUACACAGGCUAGAUCCAGGACAGUAAUUAAAUGAAGCAGAUAACAGAUUUAACCUUGGAAGAAUUAAGAGUCUUUAUACUUUUUGAAGUGUUUUUUUUUUAAUAAUCCCUAAAAAGUCAUACAGUGCAUUGUGCUUCUUUGAAUUAAGUGAUUCAAAAUUAAAACAUCUUUUUAUUCUCUAGACCUUAGCAUUUCAGGAAAGGCAUUACGUUUACAAAUAAUAAGUUGCAUGUAAAUAUGGUCUUAUAUAAAAAAAUCAAAAUCACUGUCAAAUU